ACCCGCUGAACUUAAGCAUAUCAAUAAGCGGAGGAAAAGAAACCAACAGGGAUUGCCCCAGUAACGGCGAGUGAAGCGGCAAGAGCUCAAAUUUGAAAGCUGGCUCCUUCGGGGUCCGCAUUGUAAUUUGCAGAGGAUGCUUCGGGAGCGGUCCCCAUCUAAGUUCCCUGGAACGGGACGUCAUAGAGGGUGAAAAUCCCGUAUGUUAUGGGGUGUCCGCGCCCGUGUGAAGCUCCUUCGACGAGUCGAGUUGUCUGGGAAUGCAGCUCUAAAUGGGUGGUAAAUUUCAUCUAAAGCUAAAUAUUGGCCGGAGACCGAUAGCGCACAAGUAGAGUGAUCGAAAGAUGAAAAGCACUUUGAAAAGAGAGUUAAAAAGCACGUGAAAUUGUUGAAAGGGAAGCGCUUGCGACCAGACUCGCUCGCGGGGUUCAGCCGGCAUUCGUGCCGGUGUACUUCCCCGCGGGCGGGCCAACGUCGGUUUGGGCGGUCGGUCAAAGGCCCUCGGAAGAGUAACGCCCCCAGGGGCGUCUUAUAGCCGAGGGUGCAAUGCGACCUGCCUAGACCGAGGAACGCGCUUCGGCUCGGACGUUGGCAUAAUGGUCGUAAGCGACCCGUCUUGAAACACGG
rnacentral:rRNA from 1 species